GACGAACGCUGGCGGCGUGCUUAACACAUGCAAGUCGAACGAAAAGGCCCUGCUUUUGUGGGGCGCUCGAGUGGCGAACGGGUGAGUAACACGUGAGUAUCCCCUACCUGUCUGUCGGAUAACUUCUGGGAACUGCGGCUCUUACCGGAUAUGAGCUCCUGCAGCAUGGUGGGGGUUGGAAAGAUCCGGCGGUUGGGGAUGGACUGGCUGGUUAUCAGCUUGUUGGUGGGGUAGUGGCUUACAAAGUCUUUGACGGGUAGCCGGCCUGGGAGGGGGACCGGCGACAAUGGGACUGAGAUAGGGCCCAGACGCCUACGGGACGCAGCGGUGGGGAGUAUUGCAGAAUGGGCGGAAGCCUGAUGCAGCAAUGCCGGGUGCGGGAUGACGGGUUUCGGGUUGUAAACCACUUUCGCCGUAAACGAGGCGUGAUUGACGGUAAUUGGUAAAGAAGCACCGGCUAACUACGUG
rnacentral:rRNA from 1 species